rnacentral:rRNA from 1 species
GACGAACGCUGGCGGCGUGCUUAACACAUGCAAGUCGAACGGAAAGGCCCUGCUUUUGUGGGGUGCUCGAGUGGCGAACGGGUGAGUAACACGUGAGUAACCUGCCCUUGACUUUGGGAUAACUUCAGGAAACUGGGGCUAAUACCGGAUAGGAGCUCCUGCUGCAUGGUGGGGGUUGGAAAGUUUCGGCGGUUGGGGUUGGCCCCGCGGCUUAUCAGCUUGUUGGUGGGGUAGUGGCUUACCAAGGCUUUGACGGGUAGCCGGCCUGAGAGGGUGACCGGCCACAUUGGGACUGAGAUACGGCCCAGACUCCUACGGGAGGCAGCAGUGGGGAAUAUUGCACAAUGGGCGGAAGCCUGAUGCAGCAACGCCGCGUGCGGGAUGACGGCCUUCGGGUUGUAAACCGCUUUCGCCUGUGACGAAGCGUGAGUGACGGUAAUGGGUAAAGAAGCACCGGCUAACUACGUG